UGCUCACAUUCUCUAGAGUUGUAGGAAUCCUUAAAAAUCAACCUCUACUUUUCUCUGCAUGUAAUUUUAUUAAUUUUCCUCCUUCUCUUUAGAAUAUUUCCCACAUUUUUGCCUAUUUGACAUCUUUAGAUCCUCCAGGUCUUUAUCACAGUGCCGAUGCAGCGUCUCUGCGCGCAGCCUGCCUCCGCCAUUUUGAAUCUGCAUUCGGCCGUGGAGCUGACGUGUCCGGAGCAGCCAUUUCGCUGGAGGAACUUCGGUCUGAAGGGCCAGCAGGGUGCAAGGCCUCUGCAUGUGGCAUCCUGCCAGCAAGUGAAACUAGAGGAAGCACAAAGAAAAAGAGAGGAAAAAAAAAAGAUGAUCUCUGGAUGGAGGCUAACCUUGCCAGAAAGACCAACAAUGUGAUUAGAGCAUUGAGGUUUUAGAGCCAUGUGAUAUCAAUCCAAACUCCCAACCUCCCCGGAAUGGAGGGAGGCUGAAGAUUGAGAAUCAUGUAGCCAAUAAUUCAACAAUCAUGCCUACAUAAUCAAACACCAGCAAAAACUCUGAACACCUGGAGCUCAGCUUCCAGUCUUCAUCCUGGCUCAGCCCCUAAUAUCCCAUGCUGUGGAAUCUCUUAAACCUCUUUGAUUGAGCCUUGGGACAAUCAGACUCUCACUCUAUUUUAGAAGGGUUCCAGUCUUCAGUGCUGAGCACAUACAAGUUGACAUUUCUCAGUCAUUGAAAGGCCUUGCUCCUGCUGAUGCUCAAAGCAUGAGAAGAAAACAAAGAGCAAUUCUUCUUGCCUUCCUACCCAACAGAAGGUACUCACUUUUUUUUAGAGAUCUGGUUCCUACUUGCUAACGUUCUAACUAAAUGCCAUGCAGUCUUCGAUCACUGUAAUAACAAGACUUACAUAAGGGUUAAUACUCAGGAGGAUAAAGAAUUGAAUGCUCACAAUUGAAUUCUAAGGACAUGAACUCAGGAAUAUUAUUAGUGUUGUUAAAUUUGCCAUAUCCCCAGUUUCUUUGUUCCAUGUACAAAUCUUUGACUAUCUUCAAUGAUCUCUUAAA